rnacentral:lncRNA from 1 species
CAACCAGAGGUGACAAGGACACUGCGACUCUGCCUGAGCAGAGCCCAGAGCCUGCCCUAGCGCCCUCCACCCCACCAGAGCACAGCCAGGCUCGUGGCCCUCAAAAAUGAGGCCACUCUAAGUCCUCCUCUUUCCCCGUUCCUUUAUGAACAAUGCCUCAUUACUGCAGAAUGAUAGGAGCUCUUAAUUAGUGCUAUGGGGUAAGGCCCUGCCCGAGGAGCUUCCCUCUGCUCCGUGAAUAAGGGAAGCCAAGCCAGGUUCCCGUUAUCCAGCUGCCAGCACGGGCUCAAAGGAAGCUCCAUCCUCAGCCAAAGCCAACCACAGCCAUCACACAGAUACAUAAUGCCUGAUGUAUAACUGGUGAUAUCCUCUCUUUUGUGGGGUUAAUACUUGCCCUCGGGGAUAAUUGUGCAGGACUUUAGAUGAGAGAUUCCCAUAAAAGGCAGCAAGAGUCACCCAGCUCAAACCACACAUAACUCAAGCUAGUUUACCCCCUUUGCAUUAUUUAAAUGUCUCUCUUUAAUGUGAAUGCAUCAAUUUAAAGGCGCAGCGCUCCAGGCAGGCAGUUCUUCUCUGGCGACCAAAUGUGUCUGCUAUUGAGAAUGUGAACUUGCAUCAUGUCAGAAACGUGCCCGUUCCUGGCUCUCCUGGCUCUCAGGGAACAGGGCAGGAUCCUGCUCUUCCCACUGCUCCCAGGGAAGGCCAGGCUGGGGUCAGGCAGGUGGGGCUGAGCCCCGAGCUGCUGCAGGCACGGGAAUCCAGCGGCCGGGCGUGGAUCUCGGUCCACGGCUGGUGGCGGCUCUCCAGACUCCAGGAGACACUCCCUGAGUGGGAGCAAGAGAAGCCCCUGCCCUCCCACUCUGCUUCCCUGCUCCUGCCUCGCCUCGUCCUUGCCAAACCUUCUGCUGAACCCAAAUUUACACCAGCGCACGCAGCUGCACCUAAAAUUGUACGAUUAAACAGCUAGCAUCUAACCAACCUUUCAGAAGCUUUGCUUGGAACUGAAAGUUUUGCAUCUGUGAUGGAAAAAAGAGCACGACAAAGCCGUUCCAUGUCCCAAAAGCGGCAAUGCCUUUUCACAGUGUCUUUACCAGGAAGAGCCUGAUAUGAUUUAAUUCCAGAUUACUCACUCAGUCUGAUGCAGGAGUUCUCAAGUGUUUCCACAGAUUCUGGGAGCCUACCCAGAAAAAGCUCCCUGCAAGGUAAUUGUCCAUCAAUAUAUCUGCAGGUUUGCAGCAGGUUUGCUUUUGUCACUUUAUUUUCAGUCUCCGAAAUAGUUAAGUGAGCUGCCAGAAGUUGAAUCCUCACAAAAUAAAUCAAGAAAAGAGAAUCA